UACGGGAGGCAGCAGUGGGGAAUAUUGCACAAUGGGCGAAAGCCUGAUGCAGCUAUGCCGCGUGUAUGAAGAAGGCCUUAGGGUUGUAAAGUACUUUCAUCGGGGAGGAAAAACAAAACUAAUAAUUUUAUUUCUUGACGUUACCCGAAAAAGAAGCACCGGCUAACUCCGUGCCAGCAGCCGCGGUAAUACGGAGGGUGCUAGCGUUAAUCAGAAUUACUGGGCGUAAAGAGCACGUAGGUGGUUUUUUUAAGUCAGAUGUGAAAUCCCUGGGCUUAACCUAGGAACUGCAUUUUGAAACUGAAAUACUAGAGUAUCGUAGAGGGAGGUAGAAUUCUAGGUGUAGCGGUGAAAUGCGUAGAUAUCUGGAGGAAUACCUGUGGCGAAAGCGGCCUCCUAAACGAAUACUGACACUGAGGGUGCGAAAGCGUGGGAAGCAAACAGGGAUUAGAUACC
rnacentral:rRNA from 1 species